CCUACGGGAGGCAGCAGUGAGGAAUAUUGGUCAAUGGACGAAAGUCUGAACCAGCCAUGCCGCGUGAAGGAAGACGGCUUUCUGAGUGGUAAACUGUUUUUGUACAAGGGAAAACCUGAAUACGUGUAUUCUGCUGAAUGUACUGUACGUACAAGGAUCGGCUAACUCCGCGCCAGCAGCCGCGGUAAUACGGAGGAUCCGAGCGUUAUCCGGAUUUAUUGGGUUUAAAGGGUGCGUAGGCGGGUCGAUAAGUUAGAGGUGAAAUCUACGGGCUCAACUCGGGAACUGCCUUUAAUACUGUUGAGCUAGAGAGUAGAAGCGGUAGGCGGAAUGUAUGGUGUAGCGGUGAAAUGCUUAGAGAUC
rnacentral:rRNA from 1 species